rnacentral:lncRNA from 1 species
GUUGAAGGGAUUUUUUAGCAUUACAGUAAUCAGUCUGUAGCUGACAAAUCACAAUCACACCACACAAAUGGAGAGCAACAGCAUAGCAGCAGCAUGAGCAGGCAGGUCAUGCACAGCACAGCCAGCUGAAUGCCCUCUCUUAUUUAUUUCUCUCAAAGCUUGUACCAUGCAUGCAUCAUCUAUCCAACCAGAUGAUGCAAACAUACUUUGACGCUUAUAUGGCUUUCACAAAGCUAGCAAAGCUGAGCAAACCAAACAAGAUCAAGACAAACCAAACCAAAUCAAAUCAAACUAGACAGGAAGACGCACCGCCACACCACCACACAGACCAAUCAAGCAACAUCA